AGCUAGAUUACUUUUCUUCCCACAGUCAGAAAGGAAAUGUGUGCCAUUUAAGGAGGGGAUAAAACUUUUGAGACCAUUUUGGAAAAACAUAGAUAUUGAACAUCCAAUAUUAACAGAAUCCCUGAAUGUGCAUGGCCAAAGCUGAAGAUUCCAGGAAAAUCCUGGAUUAUACAGAGCAGGAAGGGAACAAGAACUUAGGGAAAGCAAGUAAGAAUUGUGUGGCCUCCACGCCUACCCUUUCAGCCCAGGUUUAUAAAAGAGCCAUAAUUUAGUCCCAAGUAUACUUUUUUGAUCUUUUUUCCGUGACAUAUUAUAGUAAUCUUGAAAUAGUGCUGGGUUUCCUGAGGCUUCUACUGCUGACCACCAACCCCUCCCUAGAGAGCACUGAGCGACAGAUACUGUAAACAUCCUACACUCUCAGCUGUGGCAAGUAAGAAAGCUGGGAGAAGGCUGUUUACUGUCUCUGCCUUGGAAAUCAACUUUGAGGAAUGGAUUUGGAGUAUUUCUAUAUGUCACAUUUGAUACUAUCCAGUGGUCCUUUAUUUAUGAGAUCAACUCCAAGAGGAAGAAAAAGGUAAAUUAAUGAAUUAAUGCUAAGAAACGUAAAAUGAUUUGUCAGAUGAGUUGUCUUUGAACUAUCUCACAUUAUUAUUAUUUUUUUUAAGUUACCAAAUACCCAAGAGAUGAAAGUUUUGGUAACUGGUAUAAAGCUACAUUUGUGGAUUGCUGUGGCCUGUUUUAUAAAAGCACCAGAACAUUAAAUGAUUGCACAUUAGGACAAAACAGUUAUCCAUUAACCUGAGUUGCAUUUAAACAUUGUGUUUGACUCUUUUGAAGCAAAAGUUCUGGUGUUCUGGGACUUGCUACUUUAUCAGAUGCAGUUGGGAGCCCCAUGCUUGGAGUAGUAAUGAUAUACAAUAUGAAAAAAAAGCCUGCUAUGUAAAGUCUGAAUAUAGUUAUACUUUUAAAGCAAAAAUAGGGGAUAGUGGGAGAUGGGGGUGGCAUGUAAGAAGAAAGUUUUAAGAAAAAAAUCUACAGAACUAACUUGUAGGUUCAGCCUUAAUGAAGAAAAUUUCUCCAUACUCCAUUUCUUCUUCUAGUAAAUGAUUUAUAUCAGACAUUUAUUGAACAUAUAAUCUAGAAUUUGACUUACCCAAAAUUUGAGUCUUGUUAUUUUCUAAUCAAUAUUAAAUAAGCCUUCUUUUUAAAGAGAAUAUUUAAAUAAUAAAGUAUAUUCUUAUAUAGCAAGCCCUUAUGAGGUUAAUUAUAUCUGCUUUAAAUAUUAAAUCUUGACACAAUUACUUCCAUUAUACUCUUGGCAUAUAAGCAUCAGUCACAUAAACUAGGACACACUAUUGCUUUUAAAAGUAUUAAAGGAAGUUUUCAUUUCACUUCCUCCCUGUGUUUAGAGUAUAAGACAAUAGGGAAGAUUGUUUCAUAAGAGUCUAACAAAAAACUGUGUGUGAAUACAGUGACUUUAGCAUGUGGUCUCAAGGAAGUAUUCGAACAAGAUGGUUUUGCAGUGGUAAUGGACACUGCUAAAGUGCUUGCUGAGUCACUCAGCUUGGUUGAGUCAUUAAGCGUUGUCAAUUUUGCCUGCAGACUUAAAGCAACCCUCUUAUAGACAAUGCUCUCCAGUCUUCUCAAAAGAAUAAUUACUGUGAGUGUUUGAAAUUUUGCUUUCUACCAGGAAAUGUGGAUUACAUGGGUGAGGACAAAAGCUGCUGGAAGUGGAAAGAAGAGGGGUCAUAUGUGUCCUUCCACCUGAGUUAAAAGAAUGGAACAUUGGCACAUUCCAGAUCUAAGUGGAUAUUACCUUUCAGUCAUGAAUGUGAAUGCUUCAAAGCUUAUUUAAAUAUAUGCCAAAAUUUAUUUCAUUAUUCAAGAAAUAUUUAUGGAACACCUACUAUGUGUCAGUUCUAGGCACCAGGAAUAUAGCAGAACACAUGAACAAAACCCUUGCUGUCCUGAAACUUACAGUGGUAAGUGGUGCAAGAUUUAAAAAAAGAUUGUUUAUUCUAUGUAAAAUUUUUAAUUUUAUCAAAUGGUAUUAUUGCUUUUUUGAGUCUUUUAAAACCAAAUAAAUUUAAAUAUUUAAGAACAUACAUUUUGUUGUGUAUGAGAGCCUGGAUAUAAACCUACAUAAUAUGUUGAGCUUUUUAUUCAGCAUUCUUCUUCUAGAUAUGUUCCCACUGCAGCUAAUAAUGAGACAUAAAUAAGUAGUAUUCACAAGAAUGUUUGCACAGUCACUAUUGUGUGUGUGUGUGUGUGUGUGUGUGUGUGUGUAUAUAUAUAUAUAUAUAUAUAUAUAUAUAUAUAUAUAUAUAUUUGCUGAGAUAAAUUGUUAAGCCGUUAAAUGAAAAGAUAUGUUUAUGUGUUUAUAUAUUGCAUAUUAUUUACAUUCAAAUUAUUUUCAUAUGAUACAAAAGUAAACUUUAUUAUUUGAGAUUUUGAUCAGGUUUAUACCUCUCUAAAUGCUGCUAAUACAGUUUAUUUAUCUUUAUAUUAUGUAUAUUCCUAAACAAAUGCUGUAAAGACUUUAAAAGAACAAGAUAUAUUUAAAUGUAAACAUUUUUAUUUGGAAAAAAAUGCUUUAAUUGAUAAUUCACUGUAAGCCUAAUUGUGUCAUUAAACACUCAAUGGGAAAAAAGUGUAUUUAUAGUAUAUUUUAUUGAUUUAUGAAUUCAUGGUCUCCUUGUUCCUAUUUGUUUAAAUUAAUAAGUCUUUAAUGUGUUUGUGUUUGUGCAUAUUAUGUAUGCACAAACAUAUAUGUAUAGACACACACACACACAUACAUACAUACAUAUAAUAUCUAGUGGUGAUCUAUAUUUAUAAACUAUUCCAGCUUAGAUUUCUCAAGAUUUGAAUACAGCUUCAUUCUCUUGUUGAUUUUAAAAAUGCAGAAGGCAAGUUCUUAGUCACAACAUUUGUUUUGGGGGUAUUAUUUUGGUUUACUCUGUCAUUGAAAAACUGUGUGGUUAAUAUAUAAAAAUCAGCUGUAUGUCUAUAUAGCAGUAACAAGUAAAAAUGAAAAAAUUUAAAGAUACUACUUAUAAUAGUGUCAAAAAAACUCAAAUUUCCCCAAGGAUAAAUCUAACAAGAUGUGUAAGUUCUCUAUACUGGAAACUAAAUAUUAUUCAGAGAAAUUAAAGAAGACCCCCCCCACCACCAAAUGGAAAGAUAUACCAUUUUCAUUAAGAACAGGACUCUAUAUUCUUAAGGACCUAAUUCUCCCCCAGUUGAUUUGCAGAUUCAGUGCAAUCCAAAUGAAAAUAUAAGCAGACAUGUGUGUUCAUUUGGAAACUGAUAAACUGAUUCUAAAGUUUAAACAAUGAAGAAUAAUUGAGGUACUCUUAAAGAAAAAAUGAUAAAUUAACCUACCAUAUAGCAGAAUAUAGAGUUAUGGCAAUUAUAAGAGUGUGAUAUACACACAGAUAUACAGUAGAUAGAGACACCACUGUGGUAAAGAUGAAACUAAGUUGUACUGAGGACAGAAUGAUCUAUGGAUCUAAAUAUGAAAGGUAAAACAGUAAAGCUUCCAGGAAAGAAAAUAUAGAACAUCCUUAUGACCUUAAAUUGGGUGAAAGUUCCCCUAAAAUACUCACAUGACAAUAUUGAUCAGAAAGGGAAAAAAUCAUAAUUUAGAUAAUAAUAAUAUUAAGAACUUCACUUAUCAAAAGACAAAAUUAAGAAAAUGAAAAAGCAAAGCAUAUGGAUGAAGAUAUUAGCAGUACAUGUAACAGAACUUAUAUCCAGAUUAUAUAAAAAAUUCCUAUAAAUUAAUAAGAAAAUACAAGCAAAUGAAAAAUGAGCACCCAUGAACAGAUAAUUCACAAAAACAUUUGUAAUGAUCAUUUAAUAAAGAAUUUAUAGGGAAUAAUAAAUGAUCAAUUAAUGUAAAUUUACUUAGUCUAAUUAGUUAUCAAGUAAAUGUAAAUAAAAAGCACAACUCAGUGCUGAGACAUGCCUACUAGAACAAGUACAUUUAAAGGAAAAAAAAAAAAGCUGUUGUCAAGAAUGUGAAGUUGCACUGCUGAUGAGAUCAUAAGAUGAUAUGACCACUUUAGAAAACUGUUUGGUGGAUCUCUGCUUAUGCUGAACAUCUGUGUCCUAUGUCUCAGUUGUUACCUACUUCACAGAAAGUUGUAGAAUGUUAUCCAAAUAAAUAAGUAAAUGAAUAAAUAAAUAUAAAUGUUCAUAACAGCACUAUUUGUAAUAGCCCCAAAUCAGAAAAUACCCAAAUUUCAAUCAACAACAAAAUUCAUCAAUAGUUAUGUAUUCAUAUAAGAGAAUACCAUACAGUGCUGUAACUGAACAGUUUUCAACUUCACCCAAAAUUAUGUGUGAAUUUCACAAACAUAAAGUUGAACAAAAUAAACAAGACAUUAAAGAGAACAUAGGUACUAUAUGUUUCUAUUUAUGUUACUUUUAAUAACAGGCAAAACUGUAUCUAUGGUGAUAGAAGUCAGGGUGUAGUUACACCACCGAGUGGACUGAUGAGUGUAAAUGGACAUGAUGAACAGGAUUUCUUAGGUGGUGUGAUGUACUCACUUGCCUGAGUAUUGGUUAUAAAGGUGUCCAUUUAUGAAAACUACUCAGCCUACAAUUCAUUUAAGCAGUUCUCUGAGUACUAUGGUUUGAUUAAAAAAAUUGGAAAUAAGUAUUAAAAAUAUCAAUAAAACUAUAUCACCUGGUCUUAGAUAAGGCAGGUAGAACCCUUACCUAAGAAGUCCCUAACAUUCAAAGCCAGCCUCAGCAAUAUAGCAAGGCCCUAAGAAACUUAGCAAGACUCUGUCUCAAAAAAUAAAAAAGUCUAGAGAUGUGGCUCAGUGGUUAACCGCCCCCAGGUUCAGUCCCUAGUACCAAAAAAAAAAAAAAAAGUCCCAAAGAGACUUUCUCUUUGUCUCAAAACAUAACAAUAGUACAUAUCUUGGAGAAGCGUCUUCAAACCCAGGACACUACAGGAGGUCUGAAAGAGAAAUAUCUGGAUGAUCUUUAAAAUAAUCAUAAUUAAAGAAUAAAAUUACCUGACUAGAGAAAUGCCCUGUGACUUCAGAGUGACUCCAAAGAUUCUACAAUGUUGAGUUUAUCAGAAGCUUUAUCACCAAGAAGCCAAAUAUGUCUUAAAAUGCAUCCUACAUGGCUCAGGUAGAAAAACACUAUUUUAACUUGCAAAUUUUAUGGGGUAAAUGAGUUAUUCCUAUAGUUUAAUAAUGCCCAUUACUGGAGAAUUUGACAACACCCAAAACUUGGUUGCAUCACUCAGACAUUAGAAAGCUAUGAAUUUCUGACUGUACUAAACAGCUUUCAGCACUAGGCUUAGAUGUGUCUUUAAAAAUGUCAUUUAAACCAUCUUUGAAUUUUAAAAUAAUUCCAAUACACGUACUAGCCCAGUCAUGUAUAUGUAUGAAUAGAGUCAGACCCUGCCUGUGGCUCUGUUUGGAUGUGGUAAGUCUCCCUGACAUCACUGCAGUUAUGCUGGGCUGUUCCACCCUGUCCCACUCCAUAAACACCCACUUGGUGAGGUCAUCACAUUGGGUGGCAGGGGCAAGCAAGUAGAUGUGCCCACCUUCAGGAAGCUUCUAGUUUUGUGGGGAUAACACCUGAUGAGCUUGUUGUUAAAUAUAUGCCACAGUGAGUCUUUAUAAAGUCCUCAAGAAUAAUCUACUCCAGUUCACUCUGAUGGGAGUGGAAUCUGAUUCAGUCAGUUUUUACCAACUUAUUCUUUCUCGGGUAUUCAGUCAGCUAGUGCUGGGCAGCAGAAAGCCUGGCUUCUAUUAUGGUAAUAAUCUUCAUCAUACCCAGUCAUCACAGGAUUCUCUACAUUCUAGGAGCAGUGUCAGGGGUCAAGAGAAAAUACUUGGUGUCUUUACUAUGUGCUGGGCACUAUUCUAAAUAUUUUGUUCAUAUUAACAGACUUAAUCUUCACAGGUAAAUAGUAGGCAUGCAUAUUAUUUUUCAGGUGAGAAAUCUGAUGACAGAGACCUUUUAGGUUACCCAAGGUUAUGCUUAUAGGGCUUGGAACUGGGAUUUCAACUUUGGCAGUGUGGUGCCAGAGAUUUACUGUGAAUCAUAACGUGAUAGGCACAUGUGUCCUCCUCUGUUAGACAUUAUUGUCCCAAUUUUCGGGGGAACAAAAUUGAAGUAGAAAGAAUUAAGAAAAUGUGGUAGUCACUGAGGUUGUUUACAAAUAUUCCAUUCUUCCCUUUUGGCACAUGAGAAAUUACACUUCUCCAUACCUCUGAGGCUAGGUGUGGCUAUGUACUUGCUUUCUUGUGAUCAUAAGUGCCUAAAUUCCUUGCCCAACUUCAGUAGCUUAUUCAUGUCAGAUUUAUGUCUGGAACCCAGGUCUUUCUGACUCAACAGUUCAUGGCAUUUCACUUAAUUGCUCUUAUGGUAUCACACAUUCUGCAGGAACCCAAACAACUUAAGUUCUUUCACUUGCCUUCUAAUUUUAUAAUAAUAAUGAAAGUGCUUACAAGAUUUGUCCAGGAUUAAGACCAUGUAGAAGAAAAUUCUGUCUUCCUCUGGUCCAUGUGUUUCGUCUGGAGUUUAAUAUCAUGGUCUUUAGGCUCUUGAGAAUUUUUUUGAGAUUCUGAGAUUCAAGUUCUAGCCAUGAACUAAUUUGUUCUGAGCGUUACACAGAUUUCUUGGUACAAGUUGAUACAUGACUUCACCCUUUUCUAGAUUAAUUGUCUCUCAUUCAGAACACUGACCCUGUAAAAUAAUCCUAUUUUAAACAUACGUAUGUGUGUGUGUAUACACACAUAUAUUUAUGUAGUAUGUGUGUAUGUAUAUGUACAGGUGGACAUGUGUGUGUGUGUGUGUGUGUGUGUGUGUGUAUAUAUAUAUAUAUAUAUAUAUAUAUAUAUAUAUAUCACUUUCUUUAUACAAACAAACACAAAAACACACAAAAUUAUCUAGGUUUGCAUGCUUAAACUCUGAAUUAUGGGGAUUUCCCAAACAGCAGAAUCAAUUUAGCUAUAUAGCACUGGUUAUCAUGACCAUGAACAACAGAAAACCACAUGAAAUUCUGAACAUCUUUCCUGAGGAUUAUUUUCCUGAAACCUACAUAAAUAGAAGACUUUGGCCUCUCACAUUAUUUGAGCUACUGAAUGACUUAGGUGACAUUAGAUGCUCAUGUCAUAAGGAAAAGACAAAGAGAAGCAUUUAUUCCCUUAACUAGCAGUGUCACCUAACUAGCAGUGUGUUUCUGUUACUUACCGAAAAUGGACUCAGCUUGCUUACUUUAACUCUGUACUUGACACAUUUAAUCACAAAAUUCCUAAUCCCUCAUUCCAUUACUCCUUUAAAAUUUUUAAAGUUUGUUCAUAAUCCUGCCUCAUUCCAAAAAUGACCAGAGGCAAUUUCUAUGUAUGUAUUUGCUUCAUCUUGGUAAAUACCUAUUAAUGAUACAGAGAUAGCUUUUGUGCAAUUAUCUGUACAGUGAAUAAAUUGUACAGGUUGGGUUUUUCUUGUAUUUAUUUUGAAACAAUUGUAAAUUUAUAUUUAUAGAUCAUGUUGCAAAAAUUAUAUGAAGAGGUCCUAUGUACUUGUCACCUAAUUCUCCCCCCGCAAUGGUUAAAAAGUUAUAGUACAGUAUUGAGAAGCUGAUGUUGGUAAUAACGUGUGCAUGGGUAGUUCUAUACCAUUUUAUUACAUUAAUAUACAGAUGUAAUCACCAUUGAAAUUAAUGUAUAGACUGUUCCAUCACCACAAAGACCUAUCUUUGUACCCACCUGUUUUUCCUGGCAAUCACUAAUCCACUCAUCUUUAACAAUUUUGUCAUUUCAAAAAAUUCUAUAAAAGGGGAUUUUUAAUGCAUGAUUUUAAAGCAGUUUCCCAUUUGUUAAUUAAAAAUUAGCUCUGUGUUUAAUCUAAGCUUUACUUACUGUCUUUGGGUUUGUGUUGUAUUAUUGUUGUGCUGGGAGUGGAAAUUUGAUGUAAAUCCAAACAUAACAAGUUUUCACUUAAAAAGAUAUUGACUUUCCAUUUAGAACAAUAUGGUCAUUGACUGUAUUGAGCUUAUAUGGAUAUGUAUUAUGUUGGAGAAUUUUACAGGAUAUAACUCCUAUAAAAUAUAUUCAUUGGUGGCUUAAUUAGAAAGCAAAAUCCUUUCAUGCUUCACCCUAGGUGAUAAGUCUCCCAUGUUCAGUGAAUUAACCUGUGAUUAGGUCACAGUCUGUUAGGAACAUAUAGGCAGCCAUCUGGCAAAUGGAUUGUCAUUCUGCCUAAGGAGAAGGAAAAUAAAACACUGAGGUAAAAUUAAAAUGUUAAUCCAUGCUGAGAAGGAACUAAUAAAAACUUGUGAUAUUGUGUGCAAUGAUGAUACUCAAAAUAAAUGCAACAAUGGAACCUAUUGAAAAGUUCAUGUGUGAAAUUUAUUCUUUGAGAAAUUGACUAGGGAGGUAGGGUGCCUAUAGACAGACA
rnacentral:lncRNA from 1 species